ACAUAGGGCCAUCGAUCUUUUAGUUGGGAUAAAUUUCUCGAAAGAAAUAAAUCUUAGUUUUCUCUUUAGGGUGAGCAUCUUGU
rnacentral:pre_miRNA from 1 species